rnacentral:rRNA from 1 species
UACGUAGGGUGCGAGCGUUAAUCGGAAUUACUGGGCGUAAAGGGUGCGCAGGCGGAUAUAUAAGUUAGAUGUGAAAUCCCCGAGCUUAACUUGGGAAUGGCAUUUAAGACUGUAUGUCUAGAGUUUGUCAGAGGGGGGUAGAAUUCCAAGUGUAGCAGUGAAAUGCGUAGAGAUUUGGAGGAAUACCGGUGGCGAAGGCGGCCCCCUGGGAUAGAACUGACGCUCAGGCACGAAAGCGUGGGUAGCAAACAGG